rnacentral:lncRNA from 1 species
CAUGGUCAAGAUGAGGUGCUACGAUCUGCUGCAGCUUAUUUCUUGAAGUUAUUAGCCUUUCAACUCCCAAAGGCAUCUUCUUAUCUUUGCCUCUUCCAAGAGAUCUUUUGUACAAAAUAUUAUGAGAUAUGGUUGAUGUAAUAUUUAUGUAGAACUUGCCUCUUAAUCAACUUGUCAGUCUACUUUUCAGAUGACAGACCUAGGCUAUAGGGCCGUCACUUUUAAAAAUCAUUAAAUGCUCUUUGAAACUAGGAUUGUAGAAGUGACAUCUAGGAUUGAUGCGUUAGAUGUUAAGAUGAGAACAAAAGUUUUCAUAUAACAAAUGUAAAAUCUCAUAUUUAGUAUCAUUUGAAGGUAAUGGAACUUUAUACUCUCG